GCCAGAGGCAGGCAACUGGAGCUUCUCCGUCUAAUUGUUAACUUGGUGGAAGCUAGCUGCUAUACUGAAAACCUAGAGUGGAGUGUCGUUGAUGAGCAGUUAGAAAGGAUGUACAACUUGUAGAUUCCAUUGCAGAGAAACAUGCAUAGAUUUUUUUCAGAAGAGUGCAAGUCUUUUCCUGCUACUGUCCAAAUACAACCAAUUUACCCCCUCCAAAUCAGGAGCUUGGAUGAUGUCAGGUUGAAUCUUGAGUUUCUCAAGUACUUGUGAUGAAUAGUUCAGUGAAAUGUACAAAUGGAUAACCUUGGAUGCAGUGGUGGAGCAUAGGCGGGACACUACUGCUCCUUGCCCCCACCUCCCUUCCUAGAGGAAAUUUUACCAAAUAUGCUUAUAUUUCUGCUAAUCGUUCUACUAACCCUCCAGUGUCUCUGAUCACCCUAGCCUUUUUAUGUCAUACACUCAUUUUGGCCCCUCCUAAUAUCUGGUUCAUGCUCCCCCACAGCUUGGAUUGUGAAGACUUGCUUAGUCCAUCCUUUUGCUUUGCUUACUAAUGAUGCCCCAAGAUGCAAAAUACUAAUUAUUUUUCUUUAUGUGUGUGCUACAUUUUAGAUGCAAUUGCUGAUCAACAUCUUUGGCUUCACGGUUAUUCAUGGAAACUGGAUGUGGCAAUGAAACAAAAGGAGUUGCACUGGUUGGGACUUGGGAGGCAUGGAUAGUUCAAGUACUAUCUGGGAUACUACUUACAUUGCUAAUAAGUUAACGUCUGGUCCUAAUACUAGGAUUCCCAGCUAUCUUAGUUUCAAGCCCUGUAUGCUUAUUUGAUUGAAGGUGGAAGUGGGACUCCUUUUGGUGCUUAAGUAAUAACUCAAUGAUAGCGGGAACUGGUUGAAUUAUCAAUAUACAUUUGGGCAUAGAGCAUGACGAUGUAUGAAACUUCUGAAGACUUUCAG